ACUGCUCUUCCAGAGGACCCAGU
rnacentral:piRNA from 1 species